GGUGAACGCUGGCGGCGUGCUUAAGACAUGCAAGUCGAACGGCAGUCUUCGGACUGUAGUGGCGCACGGGUGAGUAACGCGUAACUGACCUACCCCAAAGUCGCGGAUAACGAUUCGAAAGAAUCGCUAAUACGUGAUGUGCUGUCAGAUUGUGUUCUGCCAGUAAAGAUUGAUUGCUUUUGGACGGGGUUGCGUUCCAUCAGCUAGUUGGUGGGGUAAAGGCCCACCAAGGCGACGACGGAUAGCCGGCCUGAGAGGGUGGCCGGCCACAGGGGCACUGGGACACGGGUCCCACUCCUACGGGAGGCAGCAGUUAGGAAUCUUCCACAAUGGGCGAAAGCCUGAUGGAGCGACGCCGCGUGAGGGAUGAAGGUCUUCGGAUCGUAAACCUCUGAAUCAGGGACGAAAGACACUUCGGUGGGAUGACGGUACCUGAGUAAUAGCACCGGCUAACUCCGUGCCAGCCGCCGCGGUAAAAC
rnacentral:rRNA from 1 species